rnacentral:rRNA from 1 species
CUAACGUCCGUCGUGAAGAGGGAAACAACCCAGACCGCCAGCUAAGGUCCCAAAGUCAUGGUUAAGUGGGAAACGAUGUGGGAAGGCCCAGACAGCCAGGAUGUUGGCUUAGAAGCAGCCAUCAUUUAAAGAAAGCGUAAUAGCUCACUGGUCGAGUCGGCCUGCGCGGAAGAUGUAACGGGGCUAAACCAUGCACCGAAGCUGCGGCAGCGACGCUUAUGCGUUGUUGGGUAGGGGAGCGUUCUGUAAGCCUGUGAAGGUGUGCUGUGAGGUAUGCUGGAGGUAUCAGAAGUGCGAAUGCUGACAUAAGUAACGAUAAAGCGGGUGAAAAGCCCGCUCGCCGGAAGACCAAGGGUUCCUGUCCAACGUUAAUCGGGGCAGGGUGAGUCGACCCCUAAGGCGAGGCCGAAAGGCGUAGUCGAUGGGAAACAGGUUAAUAUUCCUGUACUUGGUGUUACUGCGAAGGGGGGACGGAGAAGGCUAUGUUGGCCGGGCGACGGUUGUCCCGGUUUAAGCGUGUAGGCUGGUUUUCCAGGCAAAUCCGGAAAAUCAAGGCCGAGGCGUGAUGACGAGGCACUACGGUGCUGAAGCAACAAAUGCCCUGCUUCCAGGAAAAGCCUCUAAGCAUCAGGUAACAUCAAAUCGUA